AGUGAACGCUGGCGGUAGGCCUAACACAUGCCAGUCGAACGGCAGCACAGUAAGAGCUUGCUCUUACGGGUGGCGAGUGGCGGACGGGUGAGGAAUACAUCGGAAUCUACUUUUUCGUGGGGGAUAACGUAGGGAAACUUACGCUAAUACCGCAUACGACCUACGGGUGAAAGCAGGGGAUCUUCGGACCUUGCGCGAUUGAAUGAGCCGAUGUCGGAUUAGCUAGUUGGCGGGGUAAAGGCCCACCAAGGCGACGAUCCGUAGCUGGUCUGAGAGGAUGAUCGGCGACACUGGAACUGAGACACGGUCCAGACUCCUACGGGAGGCAGCAGUGGGGAAUAUUGGACAAUGGGCGCAAGCCUGAUCCAGCCAUACCGCGUGGGUGAAGAAGGCCUUCGGGUUGUAAAGCCCUUUUGUUGGGAAAGAAAAGCAGCAGGUUAAUACCCCGCUGUUCUGACGGUACCCAAAGAAUAAGCACCGGCUAACUUCGUG
rnacentral:rRNA from 1 species